UGAAACCCCGAUAGGGGUAAACCUGAGAAACCCGAAAGGUCGAAAGGGGAAAUUCAUUCGCGUUUCGAUAUUGGAGUUAUAGGAAUGUGCGACAGCCUGCGCCUUUCUUUUAACUAGCCGAGAUCGAACGCGUGCACUUUUCCCCUAGUAGGACGUCGCGAUCCGUUGGGUGUUUGUCUAAGAAUCGAGGUGGUGCCCGCGAGACGUCACGCGGACCCUUGAAUUUCGACAAACUCGCUCGACGGUAUCCAAACGGCGCGAGGCCGCUAUUGUUGUGCGUUCGUGUGAUAUAAAAUACGAACGUACAAACAGAUUUAGCGUUCGGCCCGUCGCAAGCACGUACCGUAUUUGACGGCGAUCGGACCUGGUGCCGAUUCUGUCGCGGGACGACUGUUGGUUGACGGUGUUCUCGAACAGACCUCGUUGAAACGCCAAUCGGCGACGCUAUAGCUUUGGGU
rnacentral:rRNA from 1 species